AUUGAACGCUGGCGGCAGGCCUAACACAUGCAAGUCGAGCGGAUGAAGGGAGCUUGCUCCUGGAUUCAGCGGCGGACGGGUGAGUAAUGCCUAGGAAUCUGCCUGGUAGUGGGGGAUAACGUCCGGAAACGGGCGCUAAUACCGCAUACGUCCUGAGGGAGAAAGUGGGGGAUCUUCGGACCUCACGCUAUCAGAUGAGCCUAGGUCGGAUUAGCUAGUUGGUGGGGUAAAGGCCUACCAAGGCGACGAUCCGUAACUGGUCUGAGAGGAUGAUCAGUCACACUGGAACUGAGACACGGUCCAGACUCCUACGGGAGGCAGCAGUGGGGAAUAUUGGACGAUGGGCGAAAGCCUGAUCCAGCCAUGCCGCGUGUGUGAAGAAGGUCUUCGGAUUGUAAAGCACUUUAAGUUGGGAGGAAGGGCAGUAAGUUAAUACCUGGCUGUUUUGACGUUACCAACAGAAGAAGCACCGGCUAACUUCGUG
rnacentral:rRNA from 1 species